GUACACAUAUCAUUCACUUCAUGGAGAACAGGAAGUGAAGAGAAUAAAGGAACAGAGCAGAAAUAAGCUUCAAAGGCAUGGACCCAGUGACCUACUUCCUCCAUCUGAGGAACAAGUGUUCCACAUUUGAUCCUAAACACUACUCUGAGAAGAUGUCUCGAGGCUGCAUCAGACCACCAGAGGAGCCCACACCAGCAUUCUUUAUGAUCUUUUGCUCUAAGGGAAGUCUGAUAUUCUUGAUACCCCCAUUCUGAACAGAAGAUAGAGAAAGACAAAGGAGAACGAGCAAGAGGAAAAGUAGAGAAGAGAGAGAGAGAGAUCUGCAGUUUCCAAACCUACUCCAAGAACACGAGAAAUAACACUAAAUGGAACCCAAGUGUAAGCCAAGGAUGCUGAAAACAAAUCCUAGAGCUCUAUCACAAAGGCACAGCAACACUGAAGGGUGGCCUUGCACUGAAGGUCUGAGGGUCCUGCGUCGGGCCCAGGUAUCUGGAGGACAGUCUCAGUGUGGACCUGCUGAAGGCAAAGUCCAGAGAAGAAAAAUACCAGGUCCCACAUACACUCUCUCUGCCUGAAAGACGACAAGGUCUGGUCCAGGCUGCCUUGCUCUUCCAAGUCCAAUGGCUGGAUAAUCAAAGGUGAUUGUAGAUGUGGCACCAAAAAAGAGCCAGAGACCAAGGAAUGGCCAGAAUGUCUUGAAGAUAUGUACCCUUGAGGCCAUGCUCAAGUCCCAUGCUGAAGCUGUGGGGAUCCCCUUGCCACUUGAGAUCCUGCCCUGCCCCCCAUCCUUGAUGCGCACAUGAGCCAUAUCCAAUGGUCUCCCAGAAGACUAGAGCCACUACAACUCAAUAGACAUGUUGAUUGUUGUAAUUCUCCAUUCACUGAAAGCUUCUCUGCUUGUCGAUACAUCUAUUUGAUAAAAGCUGAGUUAGAGAUGGUCUCCUUUUUUCUUGGGAAAACAUAUUGACAAGCUCAGCUCUCUCUCAGCUGCAUCCCUGAGAUGUGUCGGGGUCCUGCUUCAGAAUCCUCAGCUCCCAAAGGCAAACUCUAAAAGCUGAGUUAUUUGCAGUCAAUGGGUCAAGCCUGACCUGAACUGAGCUGAAGUACACAACACCAUCAUCUCUCCCUUCUGGUGUGGCUGUCCCUGCAUCUGCAGCCAAGCUGUGGAUGUUGCACCUGGCAGAGACCACCUGCUGUCAUUACACGGUGCAGAACGGGCACACUGUCUCCAUCCUACUGUCUCCAAAUGGAAACAUCCUACUUUCCAAAAGCACAUCUGCUCCUUGGAGUUUGGUGUGAACCAUGCACAGCUGCCUAUGAGAGAAACUGGGAAUCCAAGAAGAGAUGAGCUUUGCACAUAAAUGUUUAUCUUUGAGAAGAUGGGGAAGGCACCCCAAGGAAGAGUUGUAAUGAUGUAUGGAGCUGAAUGCCAUGGGGUGUCAGUGGCAUGCCACUGGCUCAUGUGGCAAACACCAAAGGCUCAGUGGCAGGACGCUGAAGGGAAACACAAGAUGAGGAAGAGUCCCCUUCCAGCAGCAGAGAGCAGGUGAGGAAGCUGGGAAAGUCACCGGGGUCACAUCAUACAGGACUGGCAG